GAACGAACGCUGGCGGCAUGCCUAACACAUGCAAGUCGAACGAGACCUUCGGGUCUAGUGGCGCACGGGUGCGUAACACGUGGGAAUUUGCCUCGGGGUAUGGAAUAACUCAGGGAAACUUGAGCUAAUACCAUAUAAUGUCUUCGGACCAAAGAUUUAUCGCCCUGAGAUAAGCCCGCGUAGGAUUAGCUAGUUGGUGAGGUAAAGGCUCACCAAGGCGACGAUCCUUAGCUGGUCUGAGAGGAUGAUCAGCCACACUGGGACUGAGACACGGCCCAGACUCCUACGGGAGGCAGCAGUGGGGGAAUAUUGGACAAUGGGCGAAAGCCUGAUCCAGCAAUGCCGCGUGAGUGAUGAAGGCCUUCGGGUUGUAAAGCUCUUUUACUCGGGACGAUAAUGACGGUACCGAGAGAAUAAGCCCCGGCUAACUCCGUG
rnacentral:rRNA from 1 species